rnacentral:rRNA from 1 species
AGAGUUUGAUCAUGGCUCAGAUUGAACGCUGGCGGCAUGCCUUACACAUGCAAGUCGAACGGCAGCACAGGUGCUUGCACCGGGUGGCGAGUGGCGAACGGGUGAGUAACACAUCGGAACGUGUCCUGGAGUGGGGGAUAGGCCGGCGAAAGCCGGGUUAAUACCGCAUACGAUCUGAGGAUGAAAGCGGGGGACCUUCGGGCCUCGCGCUCAAGGAGCGGCCGAUGGCGGAUUAGCUAGUUGGUGGGGUAAAGGCCCACCAAGGCGACGAUCCGUAGCUGGUCUGAGAGGACGACCAGCCACACUGGGACUGAGACACGGCCCAGACUCCUACGGGAGGCAGCAGUGGGGAAUUUUGGACAAUGGGGGCAACCCUGAUCCAGCAAUGCCGCGUGUGUGAAGAAGGCCUUCGGGUUGUAAAGCACUUUUGUCCGGAAAGAAAACUUCGUCCCUAAUAUGGAUGGAGGAUGACGGUACCGGAAGAAUAAGCACCGGCUAACUACGUGCCAGCAGCCGCGGUAAUACGUAGGGUGCGAGCGUUAAUCGGAAUUACUGGGCGUAAAGCGUGCGCAGGCGGCGAUGUAAGACCGAUGUGAAAUCCCCGGGCUUAACCUGGGAACUGCAUUGGUGACUGCAUCGCUGGAGUAUGGCAGAGGGGGGUGGAAUUCCACGUGUAGCAGUGAAAUGCGUAGAGAUGUGGAGGAACACCGAUGGCGAAGGCAGCCCCCUGGGCCAAUACUGACGCUCAUGCACGAAAGCGUGGGGAGCAAACAGGAUUAGAUACCCUAGUAGUCC